rnacentral:tRNA from 1 species
GCCGGAGUAGCUCAACUGGUAGAGCAACUGACUUGUAAUCAGUAGGUUGAGGUUCAAGUCCUUUCUCCGGCACCA